CAAAUUGCUCCCUGUGCAUGAACUACACCAAAUGCAUAUUUGGAAUCAGCUCAUAUGUUUAUCCACUUGUCCUUUGCCAACUCCAAGGCUCUAGUCAGGGCUAUUAUUUCUGCCUUUUGUGCUGAGGUGUUAGAGGGUAAUGGUUUAGUUCUGUUAGCUUUGAAGUUGUAGUUAUGGCAUAUCCUGCUCUUCGUUUACCAUCUUUCACAAAGCUGCUGCCGUUGGUGAGCCAGGAAUCUGCACCCUCCAGAGGCUCCUCCUUCAGGUCUGGUCGACUCCAGUAUACUGUCUCAGAACACCAUAAUCAUGGAUCCAGAGUCAACACCAUCCUGUCAUUCCCAGAAAUGUCCAGAGAUCUUUAACUGUGGGUGGUCGUGGUGUCUGACAGAUUGCUUCCUUCCUAGCUGCUCCAGGUUCUUCUUGUCCUCCUGUUAUUUUGGAUCCUAAGUAAGAUACUUGAGUUCAAAUUAGUUGAGCCUUCAGUUUAGAUAGAUACCUGGUUUUCAUUUAGCCCUAGAAAGUUUAACCGUUCUACAGUCCAUUAAACACAUUCUUUCUCGGUUUUGGUAGCAAUUAACAGGUCAUCAACGUAUUGUAGUAAAGUGCCUGUCUGGGUGGGUGCUUCCCAGGAUUCUAAUUCUUGUGCCAAUUGAUUUCCGAAAAAGGUCAGACUAUUUUUAAAACAUCUCAAUAAGGAUUUCCAUGAAUUUGGAAUGUAUAAGAAUUUAUGCACACCAAUCUUUUUUCCCAAUUUAUAUUUUAAUGGUCUAAGAAAGAAUGUUUUUUUCCCAGCAGCCAGUAGCUCCCACAACUGUAACAAAUUCUUGUCCAAUCGGAUUUAAAUUUUAAUUCACUACUGAAUAAGUCACCUCUGUAUCUAUCAGGAAUUCUAUCUCUUUUUUUCCUUCCCCUAGCUUUAAUUUAACCAGUGGAUCCGCUAGGGUAGAUUCCCCAGGUCCCUGUCAAUCUAACUUUAGUUCAGUUACUGGUGUUUCCUAUUUCUGUUGAGGACAGUCUCGUUUCCAGUGUCCGAAUUCCUUGCAUUUUAGACACUGAUUAGGUUCUACCUUGUGAGAAAAAUUUGCUCUCUCCCCUUUAUUGAACAUUCCUCCUCUGCCUCUGCUAUUCCUCUUCUUCUGCCCUGUCCUCUGCUUCCCCCACAGGUCCCUGUGUGCCCUAAAGCAGCUACUGUAGCAGUUGCUAUCGUUCUUCGUAGCUUUUUCUCUUUUAUCUGUUCCUGACUUCUAUAAACUUUCCAUGCCUCAGCUCCUAAUUUUUCUGUAUUUCGACUGUCAGGUCCUGAUUAUUUCUGAAGCUUUCUUCUAAUAUCUUCUGUUGUCUGUCCUAGAAAUAAGUUAGCGAUUUGUAAUUUCCCUUUGGUAGAAGAACGGUCUAAGGUAGUAUAUUUUCGCAUUGCUUCUCUUAAUUUGUCUAGGAAUUCGGUAGGUGUUUCUUUUGGUCCUUGUUUUAUUUCAGAUAGAACUGACCAACUUAUGGCUUUUGGUAUCGCAUUUUCUAGCCCAAAUUUAAUCAGAUUCCGAUAUCUCUUUAAAGCAGCAUAAACUGCCGGAUCAUCAUAGUCCCAGUCUGGUAUAGUCAAAGGAACAUGUUCUUCCAUUCUUCCUGCUAAUAUACCAGUGAUUACUUGGGCAUUAACCUGAGCACAAGCUGUUUUUAUCACCAGUUGCUUUUUGGUUUCAGUUAAUGCAUCUAAUAUUAACUCUAUAUCUCUCCAAUCAGGAUUCUGACUUUUGACAAUCAAUUUGAAUUGUUUUGCUACUCCUAUUGGAUUGUUUUGAUAAUUUUUCACAAUCUGUUUCUAAGCAUCUAAGUCUCCCACUGAAAAAUUUACUCUUAUUCUGGUUUGUCCCUCUGGUCCCAUUGCUUUCCCUAGAGGUGCCUGUGUCGCAGGUCCUGUUUUACUACGGACAUGAGCAGCGAUUGAGGUACCUUUAAAAUCUUUUCUGCUAUUAUCAUUACUGUUCAUUCCUUCCUGUUCAUCAGAAUGAGGAGGACUUGCAGCAGGGGCUACAGGAUUUAUUGGACCUUGCGGAUUUUGUGUCGCAACCGUCAGGGAGACAUAAUCUAUCCUAUCUUCCUCGCUUUUUCUCAUUUUCAGACACAUUUCACCUAUGUCACAUCCUGAACAACAUCUUUCUAAUUUGGGUUUCAGCCUUUUUCUAUCCUUUUCUAAAGUUAGAAUCAGAGGAGCAGGUGGCGCUCUAUUUAUUUCACAUUCUUUCUGCCACUCUGUGUAACUUCUCAAUGUGAAAAACAUAUCUGCAUACAUCACUUCAUCCCAUUUUCCUUGCCACCUUAAAAAUAACAUUAAUUGCAACAACGUAUUAUAAUUCAAAGUCCCAUUUUUGGGCCAUUUUUCCUGAUCCUCUAGGGUAUACAAUGGCCACCAUUGGUUACAAUAUUUAAUUAAAGUCUUUUUAUUUACC